AUGCGGUUAUGUUAAGUCAUCGCUGUGCCGGAGUGUGGUAUCUAGUGCAAAUUUAAUCCAUCUUGCGCUUGCGCAAUACCUUCGUCUGUUACCCAAGCACCCGGACGUGUGUGAGUGUGUGUGUGUAAUUACACGUCUUUGCGGCAACGAACCAAGUAAAAGUAAAAGUCUGCUGAUCACAACUCAGGAUGUCGUCCACAACUCAAAAACAUCAGAGCUUUGUGUCAGAGUCAAUGGUAGGUAAGCCUGUGACUGCUCUACCGGGGAUAGGACCGGUUUUGGUGAAAGACUCAAUCGGGCAAGGUAUCAUCAGGCGACACAAGUUCUGGGCCAGUACCUGUUGGACCAAAAUGAGGAGAGCUUCAUAAACUGGCUGAUG